AUUGAACGCUGGCGGCAUGCCUUACACAUGCAAGUCGAACGGCAGCACGGGAGCAAUCCUGGCGGCGAGUGGCGAACGGGUGAGUAAUGUAUCGGAACGUGCCCAGUCGUGGGGGAUAACGCAGCGAAAGCUGUGCUAAUACCGCAUACGAUCUAUGGAUGAAAGCGGGGGAUCGCAAGACCUCGCGCGAUUGGAGCGGCCGAUAUCAGAUUAGGUAGUUGGUGGGGUAAAGGCCCACCAAGCCGACGAUCUGUAGCUGGUCUGAGAGGACGACCAGCCACACUGGGACUGAGACACGGCCCAGACUCCUACGGGAGGCAGCAGUGGGGAAUUUUGGACAAUGGGCGCAAGCCUGAUCCAGCAAUGCCGCGUGCAGGAUGAAGGCCUUCGGGUUGUAAACUGCUUUUGUACGGAGCGAAACGGCUUCCACUAAUACUGGGGGCUAAUGACGGUACCGUAAGAAUAAGCACCGGCUAACUACGUGCCAGCCGCCGCGGUAA
rnacentral:rRNA from 1 species